ACUGCUCAGUAACACGUAGCUAACCUACCCUUAGGACGGAGACACCCCCGGGAAACUGGGGAUAAUACCCGAUAGGUGUGGAGGCCUGGAAUGGUUCCACGCUCAAAUGCACGGCGACUAUGUUUGUCAUGUGCCUAAGGAUGGGGCUGCGGCCGAUCAGGCAGUUGGCGAGGUAACGGCUCACCAAACCUGUGACCGGUACGGGCCAUGAGAGUGGUAGCCCGGAGAUGGACACUGAGACAGGGGUCCAGGCCCUACGGGGCGCAGCAGGCGCGAAAACUCCACAAUGUACUAACGUACGAUGGGGUUAUCUCGAGUGCAGUCCGAUAAGGGCUGCUUUUCCAUAGAGUAGUAUCCUGUGGGAAUAAGAGGGGGGCAAGACUGGUGUCAGCCGCCGCGGUAACACCAGCCCCUCGAGUGGUGGGGACUUUUAUUUGGCCUAAAGCGUCCGUAGCCGGCUGUUGUCGUCACCCGUUAAAUCCAGCGUCUCAAGCGUUGGACUGCGGGUGAUACCCUACAGCUAGAGGGUGGGAGAGGUAAGCGGUAUUCCUGGGGUAGGGGCGAAAUCCUUUGAUCCCAGGAGGACCACCAGUGGCGAAGGCUGCUUACUAGAACACGCCUGACGGUCAGGGACGAAAGCUGGGGCAGCGAACCGGAUUAGAUACCCGGGUAGUCCCAGCUGUAAACGAUGCUCGCUAGGUGUUGGGUCGGCCACGCGCCGCCCCAGUGCCGCAGGGAAGCCGUUAAGCGAGCCGCCUGGGGAGUACGGCCGCAAGGCUGAAACUUAAAGGAAUUGGCGGGGGAG
rnacentral:rRNA from 1 species